rnacentral:ncRNA from 1 species
GCGAGCGCAGUGCGGUGAAAGUCGCGUGCUGCGUUCUUCGGGGGCGCGCCGCAUUUCCGAGAAGGGAUGCGGCUAUCCUCU